GGGGAUAGCUCAGUUGGUAGUAGUGCUUUCCUCCAGUGUACAAGGCCCUGGGUUCAAUCCUCAGUCAUACCCC
rnacentral:tRNA from 1 species